GCCGAAGUGGCGGAACAGGCAGACGCGACGGUCUCAAACACCGUUGAGGCUUUAACCUCAUGUGGGUUCAAAUCCCACCUUCGGCACCA
rnacentral:tRNA from 1 species